rnacentral:lncRNA from 1 species
GUAUGUUGGAAAAAUCUGGAUUCCCAGAAACUAACUAAAUCCACAUCCUAGCCAUUUCGAUCUUCUUUUAUGGUGUCCUAAAAUGUCUCUUCCCCAGUUUUACACCUUGUAGAUAUUUGUAGGCUGUGAGGACGUUCCCGCUUAGUCAUCGGGUUUGUGAGUCUCUCAGAUUUAGUGCCUUCAGUCAUUUCCUGAAGAUUAGUAGAAAAACUUCGGGAGGGUUUUUUUUUUUUUUCCUUCCUUUCUUUUUCUUUUUCCCUUCCAAUUUCCCUUUAAUUGGUUUUAAAAAAUGUAUUUAGUCAGGAACUGUAGAGAUGGCUCUGUUGGUAAAAUGCUUGCUCUGCAAGCAAGAGGUCCUGAGUUCUCUCCUCUACACCCUCACAGGAAGGCCAUGCUCAGUGGCACGUGCUUGUUAUCCCAGCACUGUGAAGGCAGAGACAGGAGCUUGCUGGCCAUUGCAUCUAACUGAAUUAGCAAGUUGGCAAGUUCAGUAAGAGACCCUGACUAAUAAAACAUACUGUAGAAAAUGAUUAAGAUACCAGCAUCAAACUCUGUUUCCACACGCAAGUGUGUGUGUGUAUAGGGGAGGCCAGAAAACCUCCCCUGGAGCUGGAGUUAUAAGCAGCCAUGAGUCAGCUAUCCUGGGCACUGAGAACUGAACUUGGUCCUCUGGAAGAGCAGCACGUGCUCCUAACUGCUGAGCCAUCUCUCUAGCCUCCAAAGCUGACGUUUCUGGAGAACUUUGACGGUUUGCAGAACGAAGCUCAAACCUGUAAAGGGCUCAGUCCGCUCAUUCGUUUGUUUUUUACACAUGUACUGUUUCUGGGAUUCCAAAGAUCAGAGAUAAUUUGUGAGACCUUAAAUUUGCCUUGGCCUUGUUGCUCCGUAGAGGGGAAAUGGGAACUGUGCACGCAGCUUUUUGCAGUUGGUUUCUAAGAGACAGUCUACAAUCAGACCUUUGUGCUUUAUGAUCUUAAGAUGUUUGUGGGAUUCUGGCAUUCUCCAGACAGUAGAUUUUUUUCACUUGGAGUCUUCAAAAAGGCAAGCCCUUUGUGAGUGGGUUGUCCCAAGCAUCCGUGGAUAAGCUAGCAGUCCCUUGACCAUGGGAGCAAGAACUCCCCACCAAAGUGACUCCAGAUAAGCAGGUCCUCUUGUCCUACAUCUAAGCUUCAUAAAGAUCCCUCCCUGUUCCCAUCCUUUAUGUUACUGCCAUACUGUCAUGUAUAUUCCCAGGAAAGAAGACAGAGCUUGCUUCUGAAAAACUCAAGGGCAAACACUAGGGAUGAAGACUGGAAGGAAGGAGGAAUUCCUUCCUUGGUAGAAAAGUGUUUUAGGAGCUUACAAAGUACUGUGUAGGUCACCCUCACUGCCUCGUCGGCAAGCCACUCUGACACUGCUAAAAUGAAGCCUUAAAUGUGUUUUGGGGACAAUGCUGUCUGCUCCCUCAACCACAUAGUUGCUAGGAUAUUGUAAAUCUCUGCUCUCCCAGUGGCAUUUUCCUCUGAUGAAUGCACUGACUGUUUGUUGUCCACUGUACCGCCUGCCUGGAAGGCAACUGCUGUAAGCUUGCUCUCUUACGCAAUACUCCUUGGUACUCUAAUAUUUUUAGCAAAAGAAAACUUUGUAUUCAAGAACUUCCCACUGCCAGAAAACACAAUUCCAGUAAGAGUCUAUGUAAUACUGAUAUCUGCCUGCCUGACUUCCUUCUUUUGGGUAGGACAUCAGCUUUUAUUAUUAAGCUCAAUUGACAGAAGUGAAAACUUGUAGAAGCACAGCUUUAACCAUGACGUCUAAUAAAAGCAAUGCUCCACGCACUCACUCGUUGCUUUAAACUAGCCGAGUAGAUUUCUGUGACGGAACUUCCCGUUAGCCAUAUUUUGGUACCCUGCCUUUCGAAAAGGACACUUCUCAAACAAGCAGCGGGUUCGAGUUGUGCUGCUUGAAGCCUGGUUUGCUCAGCGUAACUUUGCAGGUGAACUGUUUCAUGUUAAACACGCAGAGGCCGUGUGGUGGGAAUGAAAGCCAUGCUGACUAAACUGAACACCAAAUGAAACUCAGUGUGUUCUUGUGAGUGUUUGCUGAGAUUCAUGGAACUGUCCAGAAGCAGCGGCCAGACUGAGUCCUGUUGCUGUGAGCUGGCUCUGAGCAUUCCACUGUAGGAACAGCAGGCUGAAUGGUGAGCAGAGCACAUGGCUCUCGCCACAUUGGGCUUGAGACUUCUAAGUAGUGGAGAUGUCCUGGUGUCGCGUUUCACCUUUAAAAACCCCUACUUAAAAGGCAAAGCUUCAAACCCAGAGCUAGUCUGCUCUAAUGGUACAAACGAAAGCCUUUCAGGCAGAGCCACUGACAAGAUGCCAUGUCAGAGCAGCCAACUCAAGCUUGUGCCAGAGUCUGGGUGAUUGGAUGACGUGUGAUGUCUUUGGGGCCUUUUCGUGAUCCGAUUUCUGUGUCUGAUGGUAGAGUAAGUGAAUCCUGGGAAUGACUUUAAUAUUAAAUUCAGUAUUUGAUAUGGAUGGCCUACAACAUGAAGUAGGAUUCCCGAAGCCAAGCUGAGGCUGAGGGCUGGGCUCUACUCUUUUUGUCCCUUUGUCUACAUCUUAGCCUUUAAAACUGGAAUUUUACAAACUCCUGCCUUUUGUGCAAAAUAAUGUGACCACAUUGUUUAAAAGGAAAAUAAAGUGCUUUCUUUUAUG